rnacentral:lncRNA from 1 species
AUCAAUACGGAUUACUAAGUUUCUAUCCGUGGCUAGACGUAGCUAUCCGCGCCGUACGUGUGACUGUGGUAUUAAAGAAAAGUUUUACUGCCGAUGUUGUUAGAAAUAUCGUUUAUACUAUCCUCAUGAUAAAUUAAAUUAAAAGUUUAAAAAUACUUUUCUUAAAACCUAGAUUUCCCAGUUUAAGCGUAUUCUCCCAGACGACUUCUUUUGAAAAGGUCAAAUCUGAGCGCAAAUAUCACAUUACUUUAUUGCAGCACGUCCUUCGGGAACAGUGUGAGAAUAUGAGUCAGGUUCUGAAUCAAAAUACGUGUAUCUUAGAUAUUUGUUAAUUUGCUGACCCAACGAUAUAUUAUAAGUGUCCUGAUACCUAUAGGUGUAGGUAUGAUAGGUGCAGCUAUGAUUGUGUGUACUGUGUUGACCCUGCGAAAGGUUGCUAGGAAACGAGCUGUUACUCCCCACUGGAUGAUGAUACCGAAGUGGAAAGGCCAAAUAUCCCUUGUAUUUUUAGCAUAAAUACUGAGACGACAGGCAAAGUGUUUCUAUUACUUGGAGACGACGAUACUUGAAAACUAAGCGGAUUGGUUUGGUCAUAGCCUAAGUUCAUAUAUAAACUGAAUACAGGUACAUCAUGAUGACUGCAUAUUUUACAUGACUUUCUGACAUGUUUGUCUGUAUUCAACAGUUCAGUGGAAUUGCAUAGUGUGAAUACGUUUAUCGUUAUAAUUAUAGCUUUCAUGUUGCCAAAUGAGGUUCAAAUUGUUUUAGAGUCGUUUUAUUAUUUCCUCUGUUUACGCAAUACUGCCAUGCAUUUCGUCGUUAUUAGCAGUUUUCCAUGUCGCCCAUCAAGAAAUGAAUGAAAAUGUUUUGACUUUAGACCCAAUUUGAUUGAACCUGGAUGGUAGCGGAAAUGCUAGCUACCUUCCAUGCCCUCUAGUCCAGGGUUGAGCAGAACUCAACAUUUUACACCUGUUACAAGUAGCGAAAUGUAAGUUACACACGUAUAUUCAUUCAUACGGCUGUGUUCAUUAAUAAAUAUUUCUAUGUUGUACGCGGAACUGUCGUUGCUAUUAGUUGCAUGUCUUUAUCAGUAGGAUAAAUGUUUCGUAUGUUUAUACAGGAUUGUCAUGCAUUUCGUAUGUAUACGCAAGACUGUCACGUAUUUCGGUGUUGUUAGUGUAAUUAACUGCCAUGCAUUUCUUAGGGAUUAGUAGUUCGUAUGUAUACGCAAGACUAAUAUGUAUUUCGUUGUUAUUAGUAUAAUUUAUGCGCAAAUUAAUGCCCGCAAAUGAACUGUCUAAAUAUUUGAUAUAUCUUAAAUACCUUUGAGCUCACCAAUUCGAAACUGAUAUUCAUGUCUUUAUGGUUACAUGUAUAUAUUUUGAAUUGUUCAUUCAAUAAGUGAUAUAUUCUUGUAAAAUGCACUUAUUGAAUAGCUUUCUGGUCAACAGUCGAAACUAUUUGCUAAAGGUC